rnacentral:pre_miRNA from 1 species
AUGUAGAUCCCGUGACUCGGGGUCAUUGACAUGAUGACAGUUCAUUUGUACUUGUAAUGUCGAGUGUUAGGUACCCGACGUGAGAUCAUGGUGAAAUCUGAGU